CUUUGGCUCCUCUGGCAGGGAGCUGGGACCUGAAUGCUGAAGGUGGGGGAAGUCACAGAGGUGCCUCUGCCCCUGGGGUGGGCAUUCGCAGGGGAUGGAGGAUGCAGUCACUGUGGGAAGAAUUCACCAUUUGGGGGUUCUGUCUUCUGCUACGUUCUACCGUGAGUGGAGCUCUGCUCUUGAGAGCGGCUGUGUCACUGGGACCUUGCUAACACCCUCCCUCACCAGACAAAGGACCCUUCCCCAUCUGCUCAGGUGCCUCAGGGGAAACCCCAGGAUCCUUGAGAGAGGAGGGUAUGUUCUGUCCAGCCUCGUGAAGUCCAGAAACAGAUGUCCAGUUUGCUCCCAAGUGGAAAACAUCUACGAGCCCCAAGGUCAUCCAUCUCUGACAGAGAUGGGAAAUUAAUAAUAAAUACCAGUUAAAUGCUGAAUAGGAACGGCCACAGAGAGUCUGUUGAGAAGAAAAAGGCUUGAACUUUGUCCUGAGGCUGCUUUUCCCAGUUACUGAUCUGGAUCAUUUCAUUAGCGGAGGUCAAAGGAAAAUCCUUCUGGAGGAAAGCCUGGGGAAAGGGGAAAAGCAGUGAGAAAAAUACCUUCCUCUCUCAAGAAUACAACUGCAAUGGCCUUAGCUAGGGAUUAAACAGAUGAGCAAAUUCCUAAUUAUGUCUCGGUUAGAUGGCAAAGAACACCAGAGGAAGGAGUGAAUAAGGGAAACAGGACUGCUGAUUGAAAAGGAGAGGGGCAGAGCUGCCCAGACAGCUGCAGAGAGGCCAGAGCUGUGUGCAGAAGCGGAUGAUUGGGGUGAUUUGCCCAAAGACAAGUGGUGCAGAGAUUCAUCAGCCAUUGCUCAUGGCAGGCUUACACAAGCUGGGAAAGGAACACAUCAUCGUGCAGAGCUGGGCUGGAAUCAGCUGCUUCAGGGAUAUCUGCUCUGGGAUGGAGCCCCUACCAGGCUCCUUUAUCUCCUUAUCCUGGGAUAUCUCUCCUGGAACAAGCACAAAAGGAAUGUUCACUACACACACGACCACAGAGGGCCCGAGUCCUGCAGCAUUGGGAUCACACCAUGCUACCAACAGUGUGCUGUCCUCUGGCCUGCAGUUCACACCCUGGGAUGUCCUGCAGCCAGCUACCUCAUCAUGGCUAACCCAGGGGCACCACUGAUCUUUGCCAGCCCACACGGGCUCAGUGCCAGCCCUCUUUCCACAUGCCACCGUGUGAUGAUGACUUUAGACAUCACUUCACGACACACAGCAGCACCCAGGAGGAUUUGUGCUGGGAACCAUGCAGGGGGAGUGCAGUCCACCCGAAAUGAGUAAGAGUGUGUGGGGUUUGGCUGAGAUAUGGGGUUCAUUUUCCCCACAGCAGCCCUCACAGAGCUGGGCUGUGUAUUGUAACUGGAAUGUGCUGGUAACACAUCAGUGUGUGGGCUCUGCUGAGCACCAAGGCAGUGUCUCCAGCAUUUCCCCCUCAGCAGCAGGCUGGGGAUGGGCAAAAUUUUGGGAGGGAUCACAGCCAGGACAACUGACCAAAUGGAUAGUCCAUAUCAUAUGAUGUCUGCUCAGCAAUAAAAGCCUAGAAAAAGCAUUUGCUAUGAUAGUUGCCUUCCAGGGAAUCCUCUAUAUUUAUUGAACCCCUACUUCCUGCUGAUGGAAAGUAAAGAAUAAUUCUUUUCUUUUUCUUUGCUGCUGCUUGGGGCAUUUGAUUUUGUUUAAUUAAACUGCCUUUACUUUUUCCAUCUCAUUUUCCCCCCUUCUCCGCCCUGCUGAAAAGAGGAGUGGUAGAGAGGCUGGCUGGGCACCUGUUGUCCAGCCAAGGUCAGCUCCCCUCAGAGAAGCAGAAGCAAACCAAGCAGGUUAAUGUGUCUUUUGGAGGUUUGCAGAGCCUACACGUCUGUCUCCAAAGGUUUGCAGCCUCAAGGCGAAAUCAUUUCUUCACAGCCGAGUUUUGCCUAAGGCUGAUGCUGCUGUAGCUGAGCUGAAGCAGAAGGAGGAACAGGCUCGUGGGCUGCUUGUGCAAUGCUGAGGAGGUCAAAAGGAUACAAGUGCUGGGAUAUUAGGGCUGAGCUGCGGGGCAGGGACAGGAAUGUGCUGUAGGGUUGAGAAGCUGCUCCCUGCUCUGGGAAAGGAGGCAGGUCGGUGCAGAGCUGGGCUCCACAGUUUGGGACAGGCCUGGGAAACAUCGAUGUUUUUCUCUGCCUCUCCCCCAAAAUGGUAAAUGACGCUUAUCCAUCAUUAUUAUGUCACUCGGUGUGGGGAUGGCCCAAAGGCUCUGCUGAGGUCAGCGGGCUGAUCCAUUCAAAGGCACCCAAGGAUGAGCUCACUUCUUUCACAUGAUAAAGGAGCGGGUGAAAUCUUUAAAUCUCUGGAAUCAGAAACAUUUUGGAGCCUUGGUAGCUUGAAACUCCAGUUUUCAGUAUCCAUCAUUCUUGUAAAUGUAACUGACUCCAUCUCUCACUGCCAAGUGCUAUUUCAGGGCUGCUCAUUCCUCCCUAGGACGUGUCCUUAGGAAAUAUCUCGUUUCUUCGCUGGAUCCAAAGACAGGUUGUGUCUGAGCAGCAACCCAGUGGCAAAAUCCCCUGUGGCUCAUUUGAAGAUACCAUGAGUGGACAAUUCCCUUUAUUAUUACAGAAAUAACCUUAAACUACCCACACCACUCACAGCUGGACAAGAUCCCAUGUCCCUGUGGUUACAGGACCAUCCUGAAGUUCAGUCCCGUGAGAUGCAGGGUGUGAGACUCAUCUCUGACUGCCAUGAGAAGCGAGGGCACCCAGCACGGGCCUGGACAGGACUUUUUCUGGAAGGAGGGAGUGAGCAAAGGUAAAUGGAUGUAAGAGAGAGAGGGACAGAGGGACUGAAAAGGAGAACAACUGCUGGAGAGCUUCAUCAUCUCCCUGUCUAGAAGAUACUUCUCCAUUUGCUUUAUUUAAAGUCAGCCUCAGGCUUGUGGGCUUGGAG